GCUGCACCGGGGCGGACCGCUCGCCCCGUGACUCCUUCCCCUUUCCUCGCGGUCCCCGCCCCCACCGCGCCGCGCCCCGCCCCCACCGCGACCUCUCCGCGCUGCGCUACACGUCCCCGCGACCACGAUCCUUCAGGCGAGGAGACCCGGGAUCAUGGUCCCGCUCUGCUGCCCGUCAGCGGGCGGCUUUUCAGCAGAACCCACGGGGACCCUGUGGAGAAACGGGAUGCGGAAUCUGUGAGCAGGAGCCGCUGCUUUUUCCUUCACUUGCUUUGGCCUCAACCUCGGGGAUUGUUGCGGGAGGAUGAGCGUGAAGAGGAAGAAGCCUGGGCUGGUCAUCAGCUGGCAGAAGUCCUUCUCCCUCCUGGCUCCUUGGAGGAAAGGGAAAGGAGACAGAGACGCGGUUCUGGACAGAGAGGUUGUUCUGACCAAAAUGAAGCUCUUCAGCAACAUCCACAAGAUGCUUCCGACGGCCGACGACUCGGCCUCCACCAUCUCAACUGUGUCCGUUUCGGAGCAGGACGUCUGUGACCCCAGCAAACCCUCUGAAGUACGUUCCCACCGCGUUGACGAGCCGGGCCGGCUUCAGACGGAGUCCGUCUCACGGCACCCGGCCUCGGACUCUCGGCUGACGAGGUCGUACAAGUUUGAGUCGGAGGACUCUGGAGUGGAGCUGCCCAGCGGCGCGGACUCUCCGUCCACCCCGACGAGCUCUGAGCAGAGCUUCACUGUCCACAGCCGAGAGUCCUCCUGCAACCGGAACUCCGACGCCGGCGCCGCCCCCGAUGACCUGGUGCCACUCACGCAGCUCCCGGAGAGCAAACAGGCGCCGGGCUCAGCGGACGAUGGUGCGAGUGCAGCAGCGGGGGCUCUGAAUGACGGUUUCAUACACUCAGAGGAGCUCAGUUCAGCCGUGGGUGCAGAGCGGCGCGCAGGUGAGGAGGUGGACGGGGACCAGAGCGGGGGGUCGGGAGCCAGCCCUGAGAGAGACGAGGACAUGCCGGGACAGCUUGAGGAAACCUGCGCCGAAACCGAGAGGACCUGCUUCCGAGGAGACGGCAGCCACUUCGAGCCGGCGCCUCGGCGGAGCCGUGAGACCAGAGACAGCCUGGAGGACUACAUGGACCAAUGCUGCAGACUGAGUGAGGCACAGCAAGCGAGUUCCAACCCUCCGGGCUCGGGCCUGGAUUACCUGGAUCACAUCUGCCAACUCAUCGCCAGGAUCGGCCACCUGCAGGAGAACAACCUCCAGCUGCAGCGGCAGAUCUACAGCCUUCAGAAGGACAGCAGGACGGCAAAGACCAAAGAGGACUUUUUCCAGCAUCACUGCAGCUGUGGGGCGGCCUGCUUGUCUUUCCAGGACAUUCAGAAGAGACAGUCCAGAAGUGACUUCUCGUCCCCCAGUGGGACCCUCUCUGACCUGUCCACCAUCCCCGAGGUCACCCGGCCUCCACUCUUACCAGCCCGAGGAGGUAAUGUUAUGACGUGUUUUACUUACUGGAAGGAAAUUAUACAGAAAUACUGGAGAAUAUUAUCAUACACAUGCAAAUGAGAAGUGUUGAGCUGGAAAAACCGUCCUACAAGUGUGAGUUUGAUGGUACAAACCAUGAAUAUUUAGAGAGGGUUGGUUGGUCUAGUAGAUGUGUAAUAAUGCACGUUCCCCCCUCACUUACCUUUGUUAGACUGCAGAUCCCAAGAUGUUGCUUUGGUGGGUUCAUCGUGAUCACAUCUGAUCAGAAUUGAUGGAACCAACGAGCAGCAGCAGGAAAUGCAGGGAUGAAGUUAUUACCAGUAACUUCUCUAUAUGCAACUUACUGUAAUUCAGUAAAGGCACUAGGCUUCGUUCUUUGGUGCACACUGUUUCCCAACCACGAAACAGUCGUUUUCUCUGGAGGUCACUGAAUCCACCCUAAACAAACACACGUGCACGACUGCAUAUUAAUGUUUUCCUGACGUGUUCCUCCAUUGGAUCAGUUACUCCAGGUAUGCUAUUGGAAGGCUCUCGUAGGGCUUAGGUUUCCUGCUAUCAUUAUUGUUUUCGUGGCAGGUCACGGUGGCUGACCGCUGGGUGGUCCUAAGGGGAAAAUUAAAUUAUGACUCAAGUGGGACACGGGGCGGAAUUCCCGGCAUCCCGCUCAGAGUCCACAGGAACAUAUGAUGUCCCGUGGACUCUGGAAUGCCUUCGUUCUUCCUCUCAAAGUCAGGAAACUGGAUCUGGAGAAGAGGUUAAGAAAUCAGGACGGGGUGGGGGGGGCAGAUUAGGUACAAUAAGGGUUAAAUAGCUCUCGCUGGGCCACGGUGAAGUAGAACCAUACAGGGUUAAUUUAGUUCCCAACGGAUAAUACGUGGCGGUUCCUGGUAGAGCCUCUUCUGAAGGUUGCAUCUCAGUUCUCCAUGGACUUGGAGGAAGGCUUACAUUGAUGUGGGAUGUGGCAUUCGCUGACAAACAGGAAGAGGACAUAUAGUACCUUCCUUUCAACAACGCAAAGUGCUGCACAUCAGUGGUCCCCCCCCACCCGGGUCCCGGUGCCGUGGGCACCAAGCCGCACAGGAAGAAUAAAUAACCUUUUUUUCUCCAAAUGACCCAAUUCUCUUCCCAAUUACAAGAACGUGUCCCUUUUGUCACGUGUCAACUGGUUUCCCGACGCCUGCGUGUUUGUGCUGUGGUCCUUGCAGAGCGCCACAGUAUUUGGCGUUAUUCCCUUAGUGAGCUGGAACCACGUCUGUGUGGAGGAAACCUUCUGCUGUCGGGGGAUGUGAAACCUUGUCUUAGAGCACUAAUCUAAGCAGACAGCUCUGACUGGUACUACGAUGGAUCUGUAUCCACUCGCAUCGCCUGCUUUCAAAGAGUUGGAGAUAGAAUAGUGAUGCAUUACAUGCUGUGAACUUGGCCACUUUCGAUGGCUGCUGGUCCCCCACACACUGGGGUCCAACAGCGAUGGACGAUGUUUCAGACAUGAGCGGUGCGGGUUUGACACCCGUCCAACUGUGGAGGACGGGCUUGUACCGGAGGAGUUACACCGAGGGGGAAGAGCCCUUCCUCAGCCACAGCACCGAGGCGCUCUCCAUCCCCCAGCGAAGGCUCAGCGAAAACUGCACAUGGGGACGAGUCAAAGACCUGGUGAGGAAGACUAAGGUGAAGAACCAAAGCCGGCUGCGCCUGAAUUCUGCCUCCCUGGAGAGGUCCUGCCCACAGCUCUACAUGCCUGACGUGGAACCAUUAGAACCCGCUUGCAGAGACAGGAGCUCCAUGAUAGCCUUGGGCCACCACAGCAAACUGGACGUCCCUUGGUUACAAUAAACAUGGAGGAGGGACACGCAUCCGUUCUGGGAGAAUAACCACCACGCACCAUCCAGCAAUCCUCAAGCCAUUAUUUUAUUAAAGGCUGUUGAAGUGGUCCGAUAAAGGAUGGGCUCCGGGAGAGAAGGGACACAUUCUGGGGCUUUACAAUCCACUACAUGAUGCGGCUGCUGCAAUGCUGCCAUUUUUGGGCUAAAAAAAUAAAGAAAAAUUGACUUGAUACACAACUAAGAUUACUCGGAAUGUGCCUCAGUCUGAACACACUUUCAGAAGCUUGUAAACGUUAAAGUUGGCUGGACGUUUUCUUUGGAAUGCACAGUGCAAAAUAUACUAAAUCAAUAUUGUAAAGUUGAUAUUCUCGCUAUCAAAAGAACAUUUCUUGAUCGCUAAGUCACACCCUCAUCUUUGCACAAUGGAUGGAGAACAAACGAUAAUAACACAGAUAACAAUUGUCAUUUGUUUAUGUCAGAGUAACAAACAGCUGGUUGGUUGAUUGGGACAUUGUGAUGCAUUUCAUUUCCAACGUCACACUUGUACCAUUAUGUGGUUUGGAUGUCAGGACUCUACUGCAUGCUAUUGUACUCCAAAACGGGAAAACUGUAAGUAAACUAUUGCAUUUAAGUAGAAUUUUGUAAGACAAUAACUUUUUCUAAUAAGUUAUAUCUGAGGUUUAUCUGCAUGGCGUCAGACAACUAUAUAUGUAUUUUAUGUUUCUGUAUGGAUAUUGCAUUCAUAUUCAAAUGUAUUUUUUAAUAAAAAUUCAAUCCAAAG
ensembl:lncRNA